GGGCCCGUAGCUCAGCCUGGAUGAGAGCGGCGGGCUUUUAACCCGUAGGUCGUGGGUUCGAAUCCCACCGGGCCCG
rnacentral:tRNA from 4 species